AGAAACAGUAACAGGCACACUUCCGAACCGGUCAUAUAUAUUUGUGGGAAAAAAAAAAGAAAAAGAAAAAAGCUCUCACCUCACGCAAAGCUAGUUCUUCUCUUGUCUUCUUCGACAAUGGUGAACAGCAGCGCAUGAACAACCCCCUGCCCCGCUCACUCAGUCUCACUCUCUCACCUGACGCAGGCUCAUGGGCAAAAAAAUUCAAAAUCCCUAAUUACUAAUUCCUCUCCUCUUUUGCUUCCACAACAGUCAACGGUGGCACAACUUCCACAACAGUCAGCGGCGGAUGUGAUUUUCAGGUAUUUUGGUUAACUCUAAAUUGAUUUCAUAGCCUUUCAAUUCUUUUUUCCUAAUUUUUUUUUGCGCACGCUGCCACAAUCCUUGCCAUUAAACAAACCCUCAUAGCCACCACCGACCACUGACAUGCAUGAAUGUCCAAUCUCUUAGCCGCAAUUGCUAUUCUUUGUCGACGUCGUGAAGAAAUUGGGUAUGAUGUUAAUCAAUCACACAUACUACCAAAAAAUGCUAAGAACCAAGUUUUUAAAUUUUGUUAAUAUGAUUAUGAAAUUGGGCUUGCUUUUGUUUGAAUUUUUAGGGUUUGUUUGCUUUCGGAUAAAAAUUAAAAAUCAGAUUUUGAAAUUGUUUGUUCCUCAUUUUGUUGAGAUAUACCUUGUCUUCGUUUAUUUAUUUGUGCCUGUCUGAAUAGAUAUGCCAACAUAAUCGAAUGCUUAUUAAAUUCAAUGAAAUGUGAUGCAUGGCCUUAAACUUGUGGUGAAUGGCUUUAUUCAACAUAUAUAUUUUGGAAAUUAGUUUUAUUUUGUUUGAUUGAGAGAUUUUUUUGCUUAGUUUGAUUUAUUUUGCUUUAAAAAAAGAGCCUAGUCAAAAUAAGUUUAUUUAAAAGUGGAUGGCAUUUGAUUAAAAGAAGAGGUAAGAUUUAAAGCCCUGCAAGUGUUUGAUAAAAUAUCUAAAUGAAUCUUCAUGUUCAUAUUUUCUUUUCUCAACUGACUUAGGUUUUUUGUAAUCAAGGUGAAGGUGCUAUAGUGUUAUUAUUAGCACCUACUAGAGACUUAGCCAAUCAAAUUCAGGAAGAGGCUCUUAAAUUUUGGUCGUGCGCAAGUGUUAUAAAUACUUGUGUUUAUGGUGCUGCUCCUAAAGGACCUCAAACAUUCGAAGAGGUCUUAAUUGUUUUUUGUUGUUUUGGAGAAUUUAAUUGUUUUUAGAUUAAAAUUACAAGUCAAGUAUUUUUAUUUGGUGUAUCUUCCUCUUUAACUACAAUAUGAAUUGGAGAAUUUGAUAGAACUUUAAUCAUUUGUCUAUACUUUACUAUUGCUUAAUUGUAUCAUAAGAGUGUGUUAAUUUGCUCUGUUAUUCUUUCAAGAUUCUUGAGCUAUACUCUUUAUAUUUAUAAUUUGUUUUGAUAAAUUUCUCUUGGUUCUUUAAUUUUGAUCUAUUCCCUCUUGAAAGAUAUUUUAUUUUAAACAUGUCAUUAAUUAUAUUGAUUUAAUCUUACAGGGUGAUGAGCUAAAUUAAUUAAUUAUAUUAUAUGUAGAGUUUAGUUUCCUCAAUAAUGGUGUGCUAGGAAUGCAGUUUUAUUUUAAGCAUAAUAUGCAAUUUGUUUUGCGACUGUUUACGCAUAAAAACAGCACCUAAAAGUUUCCAGGUGCUGAUUAGCUGUUGUUAUGUAAUAAACAUAAACACAACACAUGGAAAUUUUGGGGUGUUGUUUUGCUGUUGUUUAUGCACAAAAAUAGCAUGUAGAAGUCUUGAGGCGCUGCUUAGCUGCUGUUAUGUAGUAAAAACAAAACAUGGAAGUUUCUAGGUGCUGCUUAGCUGCUGUUAUGCAGCAAAAACAAUAGCCGGAAGUUUCUAGGUGCUGUUUUGCUGUUGUUUGUACAGAAAAACUGCACUUGGAAAUUUCCAGGUGAUGUUUAGUUGCUGUUAUGCUGCAAAAACAACACCAGGAAAUUUACUGGCACUGUUUUACUAAUGUUUGUGUAGAAAGACUUUAUAAUUUUUAUUUCAAUAUGAUCUCCAUUUUGCUUUUAUUUUUUAAUUUUUAAAAUGGGAAGAUUCCCUUGUAUUUUAUUUGAAUUGCAAUUUUGUCGAGUAUUCGUUCUUGGGAUUAUAUUUUCUUUUACUUGUUUUUAGGGUGCAGCUCUCAGUUUCAAGUACUACCAACAUUGUUUCUCUUCCAUGAAAGAAUCUGUAGUUUUACCCAGCUAUGAACUGAGUUAGCCAUUGGUUAUUAGCAGUUUCUGGACAAGGAGCAAGAAGAUACCAAUGAGGACCUGGAUUUCAGAAGCAAUUCUCUUAUUUUUCUUUUAUUUUGAAUCAUUAGCAUUUUCUUUUUCUUGUUUGGUUUCAGAUAUUGGUGGCAUUGGGUAGUGGGUUUGUUUCUCAAAUCAUGAUGAUCCCAAUGUAAUUGCAAACAGCAGGGUCUGAAAUCUAUACGACCUUGUGAUUUGUCUUAUAUUUUUUUACUGAUGUUUGCUUAAUUUUCUUUUCCUUUUUGUUCUUUUUGAGUGAUCUCCAUAAUUAAUCAAGAUCCAAAAUAUCAAGUUUGUUAAUCUUUUAA
rnacentral:lncRNA from 1 species